GGUAUGCAUAUCAGAGGCCCCCGGGGGAGAGAGAGAGAUAGGGCUGCUGGUAGGCUGCUCAGAGACAUCUGAGUGCACAGCCCCAUCCCCGUGCUUGCAAGCAACCAUCGGCCGAGAGCACAGUUGAUAGCAGAGGUCCCCUAGUUGAUAGAGUGACUGGGGGCACUGGGAACGGGUUCAUUGUUCAACAGAGCGACCACUACCGCUAGCGACUCUGCGGACUAACCCCAAGAAUACCUCCAGACCAAAACUUGGUCAGACUGGGAGGAGCCAUGGGCCUGGACAGCAGUGGCAAAUUGGCUUUUCAGAACUCCCAAGGAAAGGGAUGUUGGCUAGAAAAAGGAUCUUGAAUGUCAGACUGAAAAGGCGGCAUCUCCUAUUGCUCUCGUGAGGACAGAAGCCCCAGCUCUGCCUGCAUACCAGUGGACACAGCUGCAUUCUUCCUCCUCCUCCGUGCCACUCCUGGGAGCAGUGGCAGUGUGGGCACGACUUGUCGUUUCUCCUCACCUGAGCUGAUUUUUAAAAUAAAGGCAUUAAAAAAGGAGAAAGAUCUCUUGCCCUAUUUAUUUCACUGAUGAACAAGCUGGCCACUGCAGCAGGUGGUCUAGCAAAAUUAAAACAGUCCCUACAGUCAUCUGUAUUGUCAUUAGGAACUAGCCAGUGGCAGAUUUCAAAAGUACUGCCAAAGUGGGAGAAGGCCGGGGACCAAGACCACAAGUUAAUAGUGGAAGCGCUUAGUACGGUUGAAGAUAAUGUGUCUUUAGCUUUCAGUUGUAUACAAGCACAGUUAUGGAUGUAGGCAACAGCAGCUUUGAUCAUAUGGGAAGGGGGUGAAGGUGAUUUUCCAGCUGAAAUUCAAAAGAUUGUCUGGGAUAAUGUGAUUGAUUUUGAAAGAAAGUUUCAAUCCUUAUGGAUGAUGGUAAAUUUUACCUAUGAUCCUGUUAUGAAUAAAAAGUUAUCUAUUUUUUUUAAGGUUCCAGAGUUAAAACAAGUUGGACCAGUUGCUGUUAAGUUAGCUUCAUUGUUGAGAGCUCUUCUUCAAUUACCUGUUAAUGGUUGGUGAUUAACCAUUGUCCCCCUGAUGUUUGCCAGGGAGGGACACUGGGACCCUGCAAGUACCAGGAGAAUGGGAGUGGCAAGAGCUAGUAUUCAGAUGAGAAAUGCA